rnacentral:tRNA from 1 species
AAAAAGAUAAGCUAAAAUAAGCUUCUGGGUUCAUACCCCAGCGAUAGUGACUACACUUCUUUUUA